CGUUGUCCGGAUUAUUGGGCGUAAAGAGCUUGUAGGCGGUUUGUCGCGUCUGCUGUGAAAGGCCGGAGCUUAACUCCGUGUAUUGCAGUGGGUACGGGCAGACUAGAGUGCAGUAGGGGAGACUGGAAUUCCUGGUGUAGCGGUGGAAUGCGCAGAUAUCAGGAGGAACACCGAUGGCGAAGGCAGGUCUCUGGGCUGUAACUGACGCUGAGAAGCGAAAGCAUGGGGAGCGAACAGGAUUAGAUACCCUGGUAGUCCAUGCCGUAAACGUUGGGCACUAGGUGUGGGGAACAUUCCACGUUUUCCGCGCCGUAGCUAACGCAUUAAGUGCCCCGCCUGGGGAGUACGGCCGCAAGGCUAAAACUCAAAGAAAUUGACGGGGGCCCGCACAAGCGGCGGAGCAUGCGGAUUAAUUCGAUGCAACGCGAAGAACCUUACCAAGGCUUGACAUAUACUGGACCGCAUCAGAGAUGGUGUUUCCCUUCGGGGCUGGUAUACAGGUGGUGCAUGGUUGUCGUCAGCUCGUGUCGUGA
rnacentral:rRNA from 1 species